rnacentral:lncRNA from 1 species
UAGGUAUAAAUCUAACAAAAUAAGUCCAGGAUCUGUAUGUGGAAGAGCAUCAAACAGCAAUGAAAGAAAUCGAAGAAGAACUAAAUAGAGGCAUGUUCUGUGUUAGUGAAUCAGAAUAGUCAGCAUCAUUACAAUAUCAAUACUCUUCAAAUUGAUCUAUAGAUUUAACACAAUUCCAGUCAAAGCCCUAGUAAUAUAUUUUGUAGAAAUUAACAAAUUUGAUUCCAAAAUUUAUAUAGAAAUGCAAAAGACAUAAAAUAGUCAAAACCAUACUGAAGAAAAAAAAGUUGGCAGAAUCACUUUGCCCAAUUUCAAGAAUUAUUAUAAAGCUACGGGAAUAAAAGCAGAUUUGGAAAAAUAAUAGAUCAGUGGACAGAAUGUAGAGUCCGUACAUAGACCCAUACAAAUAUGGUCAACUGAUUUUUGACAAAGGCAUUGAAGGCAAUUUAAUGGGGAAAAAAAAGAAUCCAGGUACAAAUUUCACAUCUUACACAAAAUUUGACUCAAAAGAAUAAUAGACAAAAAUGUAAAAUGCAAAUUAUAAAAUUUCUAGAAGAAAACGUAGGUGAAAAUAUAUUUGACCUUAACUUUGGUGAUACAUUUUUAAAUAAAACACCAGAAGCAUCAUUUAUGAAAAAACAUUGGUAAGUUGGAUCAUUAAAAUUAAAUGCUUUUGCUCUGUAAAGAAUGAAAAAGAUAAAUUACUAAAUAGAAGAAAACAUUUGCCUUAAAUGUAUAUUGCUCCGUUGAAGAAGUCGGUCUGAAGUGGUAGCAGACCACGUGAUUUCAAUUAUAUGACUAACGGAAAAAUGAGGAUGCAGACACACCCAGAAGGGUGGCAGGGAGAACACAGGGAGAAGACGGUGUCUGCAGGCCUA